rnacentral:rRNA from 1 species
UACGGAGGGGGCUAGCGUUGUUCGGAAUUACUGGGCGUAAAGCGCACGUAGGCGGCUUUGCAAGUUAGAGGUGAAAGCCCGGGGCUCAACUCCGGAAUUGCCUUUAAAACUGCAUCGCUAGAGUUGUGGAGAGGUAAGUGGAAUUCCGAGUGUAGAGGUGAAAUUCGUAGACAUUCGGAAGAACACCAGUGGCGAAGGCGACUUACUGGACACAUACUGACGCUGAGGUGCGAAAGCGUGGGGAGCAAACAGG